rnacentral:rRNA from 1 species
UUAGAGUUUGAUCCUGGCUCAGAACGAACGCCGGCUGCAGGCCUAACACAUGCAAGUCGAGCGGUACCUUUGGGUGGAGCGGGGGACGGGUUAGUAACGGGGGGGCAUACGCCCUUCUUUACGGAAUAGCCUCGGGGAACUGAGGGUUAUACCGUAUACCCCCUUCGGGGGAAGGAUUUAUCGGAGAAGGAUUAGCCCGCGUAAGAUUAGAUAGGUGGUGGGGUAAUGGCCCACAAGUCUAUGAUCUUUCGCUGGUUUAGAAAAUGAUCAGCA